UGCUUUUCUGGAGUGAUAAUGUGCUUGCCUGUGUCUAAGAGAAAGGUGAAGAAUUGGGAAACCCAUGGGUGUCACGAAGGGUGGUGAGACUGGGGAACGUUUUAGAAAACCUGUACCCUGGCUGAUAAAUGGGACUUGGAUUUUAAAUACCAUUGGAUAAUAAAUGUAUGUGAUGGCUUUGGAGCAAAUUGAUUGACAAUGGCUAGGAGACAGCUUCCCAAGGCUGGAAAGAGGGGAGUGCGGAACAUGCCUCCACCAUACCACUGCCCACCUCCUGUGACCUCUGCAGCAAAACCUGAAGCCCCAAAGAGGCAGCUUCUCAAAGUAAAAGUGGAAUGAAGUUCCUGGUGACCUGAAUUCCCAUGGAGGAAAGAGGAAAAGGACAUUAUGCAAGGAGAUGGCAUCUCGUGUCCCUGGUGAACCAAAUUCCAUUAGGAAGACGGUGCAGUGUGAGGUGGACCUGGACCUGGAUAAAAUGGGUGUUUAACAAGUAUUUGUUGAGUAGGUGGUGGAGGAGGCACGACUAGAUGCAGGGUCUAGCUGAGUUGACAAGAGCUAACACCAGGUGUGGACCAGGACAGGGGGACCUUAAGCGAAGACACCCUGCCAGAUGUGUCUUGUUCCCUUGACUGUGGGGAGGCCCUUGGUGGUGGGGUGACGGUCCCCCAGUCUGAGGAUUUUCCCUGGAUGUAGCCUCUCAGUGCUAAAAUGGGACAGUCCCAGGCAAACCAGGUCAGUUGGUCACUCUACUCAGUGAGCCCCGUGCUGUGUUCAAAUUUUCCUCUUAACAGAUGUGGAUGGAUUUCGGAAACUUAGAAACCACCAUUUCUCUGUGCCUGGGAGGAGAGUUAAAUCUUCUCACCAGAAUCCUUUUAUGUGUGAGAGAAAUAAAUAUCUAUCCUUUUUAUAUCUCUUUUGUUUUGGAUUCUUUGUCACCAGCAGCCAAACCCAAUUCUUACAUAAACGUGAUACUAAUUAAAUUCAUUUGCAUAAACUCACCAGUUUUAUCCUUAAUUACUGUGAUAUACACUCAUGAAGUAUGUACCCUAAAAUACCACUGUAAGUUUUAUUUGAUUAC
rnacentral:lncRNA from 1 species